rnacentral:rRNA from 1 species
AGAGUUUGAUCCUGGCUCAGGAUGAACGCUAGCUACAGGCUUAACACAUGCAAGUCGAGGGGAACGACGAUCGAAAGCUUGCUUUUGAUGGUCGUCGACCGGCGCACGGGUGAGUAACGCGUAUCCAACCUGCCCAUCCACUUGGGGAUAACCUUGCGAAAGUAAGACUAAUACCCAAUGAUAUCUCUAGAAGACAUCUGAAAGAGUAUUAAAGAUUUAUCGGUGAUGGAUGGGGAUGCGUCUGAUUAGCUUGUUGGCGGGGUAACGGCCCACCAAGGCAACGAUCAGUAGGGGUUCUGAGAGGAAGGUCCCCCACAUUGGAACUGAGACACGGUCCAAACUCCUACGGGAGGCAGCA